GCCGCCGUAGCUCAGCUGGCAGAGCAGCGGACUUUUAAUCCGAAGGUCGUGGGUUCGAUCCCCACCGGCGGCA
rnacentral:tRNA from 2 species